CAGUCGCCGCGGUAAUACGUAGGCGGCAAGCGUUGUCUGGAAUUAUUGGGCGUAAAGCGCGCGCAGGUGGUUUAAUAAGUCUGAUGUGAAAGCCCACGGCUCAACCGUGGAGGGUCAUUGGAAACUGUUUAACUUGAGUGCAGGAGAGAAAAGUGGAAUUCCUAGUGGAGCGGUGAAAUGCGUUGAGAUCGGAAAGAACACCAACGGCGAAAGCACUCUGCUGGGCCGACACUGACACUGAGAGACGAAAGCUAGGGGAGCAAAUGGGAUUAGAUACCCCGGUAGUCCCUGUCUCUUAUAC
rnacentral:rRNA from 1 species